AUACGAAGGGGGCUAGCGUUGUUCGGAAUUACUGGGCGUAAAGCGCGCGUAGGCGGAUACUUAAGUCAGGGGUGAAAUCCCGAGGCUCAACCUCGGAACUGCCCUUGAUACUGGGUAUCUUGAGUCCGGGAGAGGUGAGUGGAAUUCCUAGUGUAGAGGUGAAAUUCGUAGAUAUUAGGAAGAACACCAGUGGCGAAGGCGGCUCACUGGCCCGGUACUGACGCUGAGGCGCGAAAGCGUGGGGAGCAAACAGGAUUAGAAACCCCAGUAGUCC
rnacentral:rRNA from 1 species